AACGAACGCUGGCGGCAUGCCUAACACAUGCAAGUCGAACGAGACCUUUGGGUCUAGUGGCGCACGGGUGCGUAACGCGUGGGAAUCUGCCCUUGGGUUCGGAAUAACAGUGAGAAAUUGCUGCUAAUACCGGAUGAUGUCUUCGGACCAAAGAUUUAUCGCCCAGGGAUGAGCCCGCGUAGGAUUAGCUAGUUGGUGGGGUAAUGGCCUACCAAGGCGACGAUCCUUAGCUGGUCUGAGAGGAUGAUCAGCCACACUGGGACUGAGACACGGCCCAGACCCCUGCGGGGGGGGGCAGGGGGGAAUUUGGGAAAAGGGGCGAAAGCCUGACCCAGAAAGGCCGGGGAAGGGAUGAAGGCUUUAGGGUUUUAAAGCUUUUUUACCAGGGAUGAUAAUGACAGAACCGGGGAAAAAAGCCCCGGCAAACUCCGG
rnacentral:rRNA from 1 species